UCUUGGUCAAAUUAGAGGAAGUAAAAGUCGUAACAAGGUUUCCGUAGGUGAACCUGCGGAAGGAUCAUUAUCGAGAGGGGUCCCCGGACUCCGGGGGCUUCGGCCCCCUACUCUUCACCCUAUGUCUACACACCUUUGUUGCUUUGGCGGGCCUCGGGUUCGCCCCGUACCGGCCGUGGGCUUCCAUACCCCGGCCGUCCGUGCCCGUCAGAGGCCCAUGAACCCUCGUUUAUCAGUGUCGUCCGAGUCCAACCAUAAUAGUAAAAACUUUCAACAACGGAUCUCUUGGUUCUGGCAUCGAUGAAGAACGCAGCGAAAUGCGAUAAGUAAUGUGAAUUGCAGAAUUCAGUGAAUCAUCGAAUCUUUGAACGCACAUUGCGCCCCUCGGUAUUCCGGGGGGCAUGCCUGUUCGAGCGUCAUUGCACCCCUCAAGCGUAGCUUGGUAUUGGGCCUUCGCCCCCGCGGCGGGCCCGAAAGUCAGUGGCGGUCCGGCGCGACUUCAAGCGUAGUAAAAUACCUCCCGCUUUGGAAGCUCGCGCCGUGGUCGGCCAGAACGCCCAACUUUUCAAUGAUGACCUCGGA
rnacentral:rRNA from 2 species